GAUGAACGCUGGCGGCGUGCCUAAUACAUGCAAGUCGAGCGAACGGACGAGAAGCUUGCUUCUCUGAUGUUAGCGGCGGACGGGUGAGUAACACGUGGAUAACCUACCUAUAAGACUGGGAUAACUUCGGGAAACCGGAGCUAAUACCGGAUAAUAUUGUGAACCGCAUGGCUCAAAAGUAAAAGACGGUCUUGCUGCAACUCAUAGAUGGAUUGGCUCUGAAUUAGCUAGUUGGGAAGGUAACGGCUUACUAAGGCAACGAUCCUUAGCCGACCUGAGAGGUGGAUCGCCAACACUGGAACUGAGACACGGCCCAGACUCCCACGGGAGGAACCAGUGGGGAACUUUGGGCAAUGGGCGAAAGCCUGACGAAGCACCGCCGCGUGAGGGAGGAAGGUCUCCGGUUCGUAAAACCCUUUUAUAAGGAAAGAACAGAUUUGGAGUUAAAUGUGCACAUCUUGACGGUACCUAAUCAGAAAGCCACGGCUAACUACGUG
rnacentral:rRNA from 1 species